rnacentral:rRNA from 1 species
GAUGAACGCUAGCUACAGGCUUAACACAUGCAAGUCGAGGGGCAGCACAGUGUAGCAAUACAUGGGUGGCGACCGGCGCACGGGUGCGUAACGCGUAUCCAACCUUCCCGAUACUCAGGGAUAGCCUUCCGAAAGGGAGAUUAAUACCUGAUGGUGUUUCAAUUCCGCAUGUUAAUGAAACUAAAGAUUUAUCGGUAUCGGAUGGGGAUGCGUGACAUUAGAUAGUAGGCGGGGUAACGGCCCACCUAGUCUACGAUGUCUAGGGGUUCUGAGAGGAAGGUCCCCCCACACUGGAACUGAGACACGGUCCAGACUCCUACGGGAGGCAGCAGUGAGGAAUAUUGGUCAAUGGUCUGACGACUGAACCAGCCAUGCCGCGUGAAGGUCACGGCCCUAUGGGUCUUAAACUUCUUUUGCAAGGGAGCAAUAAGGUGCACGUGUGCAUCGAUGAGAGUACCUUGCGAAUAAGCAUCGGCUAACUCCGUGCCAG